rnacentral:rRNA from 1 species
UUGAAGGGAAACGAUUGAAGUCAGUCGUGCUGGCGCGAAAUCAACCCUCUCGUCGAGAGGACACAUGGCGUGGCGAGCCUCAACCGUCACGAAGCGUGAACUCUUGGCGAAAAGGAGCACUUUCGUGUCCGCUGGUUAACAUCAAUUUCGAACGUCAUAAAAAGGCUGGAGGGAUGUGGCUCCUUCGGGAGUGUUAUAACCUUUAGCGGAAUGUGGUGGUCGGGAUUGAGGAUUGCAACGAAUACCUUUAGGGCUGUUCCACCUGGCCUCUCUUUGGUAUCCUGGUGACGACAGCUUGCUGACGUUGUUAGGAUUCGCCAUUGAACAGGCUAGAGUGUGAGCAAAUUCGUUAAGGAUGUUGACGUA